rnacentral:rRNA from 1 species
CGGUAACAGGAAGAAGCUUGCUUCUUUGCUGACGAGUGGCGGACGGGUGAGUAAUGUCUGGGAAACUGCCUGAUGGAGGGGGAUAACUACUGGAAACGGUAGCUAAUACCGCAUAACGUCGCAAGACCAAAGAGGGGGACCUUCGGGCCUCUUGCCAUCGGAUGUGCCCAGAUGGGAUUAGCUAGUAGGUGGGGUAACGGCUCACCUAGGCGACGAUCCCUAGCUGGUCUGAGAGGAUGACCAGCCACACUGGAACUGAGACACGGUCCAGACUCCUACGGGAGGCAGCAGUGGGGAAUAUUGCACAAUGGGCGCAAGCCUGAUGCAGCCAUGCCGCGUGUAUGAAGAAGGCCUUCGGGUUGUAAAGUACUUUCAGCGGGGAGGAAGGGAGUAAAGUUAAUACCUUUGCUCAUUGACGUUACCCGCAGAAGAAGCACCGGCUAACUCCGUGCCAGCAGCCGCGGUGAUACGGAGGGUGCAAGCGUUAAUCGGAAUUACUGGGCGUAAAGCGCACGCAGGCGGUUUGUUAAGUCAGAUGUGAAAUCCCCGGGCUCAACCUGGGAACUGCAUCUGAUACUGGCAAGCUUGAGUCUCGUAGAGGGGGGUAGAAUUCCAGGUGUAGCGGUGAAAUGCGUAGAGAUCUGGAGGAAUACCGGUGGCGAAGGCGGCCCCCUGGACGAAGACUGACGCUC